rnacentral:rRNA from 1 species
UACAGAGGGUGCGAGCGUUGUCCGGAAUCACUGGGCGUAAAGGGCGCGUAGGCGGUCCGAUAAGUCGACUGUGAAAGUCCAGGGCUCAACCCUGGAAAGCCGGUCGAUACUGUCGGACUAGAGUCCGGAAGAGGCAAGUGGAAUUCCCGGUGUAGCGGUGAAAUGCGCAGAUAUCGGGAGGAACACCAAUGGCGAAGGCAGCUUGCUGGGACGGUACUGACGCUGAGGCGCGAAAGCGUGGGGAGCAAACAGG